rnacentral:lncRNA from 1 species
GCGCUGGCCCGGUACGACAGGGGCGGACAGGGGCGAACAGGGAGACGCCGAGGCCGACAGCGGGUGGCAGCUGAGCUAGUGGGGCUCCACCACUGUUAGCCCGGCGUCGGCGCCCAACCGGGCCUGUCUGAUUUGCAAGUAACAAAUAAUCCACUACUGCUUUACCAGGAGGCCAGGAUGACCUUGGCUGAGCCCUGCCCCAAGGGACUCCGUGGAAGAGAAGAUCAGUAACCCCCGGCAUUGGUGUAACCAGCGCGCGCCCAAUGCAGUCGUAUUCCUCGAAUGCGCGCACCGCCCGCCACACUUGGAGAAUCCAGCCCACAGAGGUUUCGGAAACCCCAUUUUCCUGAUUGCAGCCCAGACUCUGGAACCCCGCAAGCCUUCCGGGGAAGCGAGCCCAAUCCAGACCAAGCAGACCUCUGGCGCUGCCGGGUUCGUACAACCACUAAAGCAGCGUCAUCUUGAGAGUUAUUUUGGGGAAAAAGACCUGGGACCUGGGUUUGAGUUAAAGACGUUAGAGGCAAGGGACAGAUGGCCCAGCAUUUCUUUGGAACGAGGCAGAACUGAGAACUACCCAGCUGGACCAGCAUUGCCGAAAACUGGAGAUUAGGAAAUGUAUUCUCCUCGCACACACAGUAGCACACAUCUCCUCCGACGGCGAGUUCACCCCUACGCCAGGGGCCUCUGGCUCCGCCGCUGCGUUUCCCAGACGCCCUUUCGGCCUUCUCCAGGUUUUGCCAGGCAAAUGAAACGAGCAGAACUCGAUGGUAAAUUAUUUUGUUCAGCCUUCCGUCUUUUUAUAAAAAUAAAAGGCAACACUUUGUCAUUUUUAAUCAUAUAAGCAGACAAUAAACCUAAUUUUGAUAUUGAUUUUUUUUCCAGAAUCAAGUGAUUUUGUGCAGUAUCUGUUGUGUUUCCUUUCCGAGGAAGGGCCGUUUGCUGGUAGAUUGUCUGGCUAUAAGGCUGCCUCCACACCCGGCCAGUGCACUUAUCUGAAACACGUAGUUAGUUGUGGACUUUGAAGCUGGAUAGCUGAGAAGGGGCUCUUCCUGGGUGGCAGGAAGUUUGGGUUUUGUCUAAUUAUCUAGAUAAUGGUUUCAACUGGGCCAUCCUUGGUGCCUUAGGGUAGAUUUAAGGCUUGGCUGGUGCUUUUAGGAGUUAUGGCCUCAGAGACUCACUUUGUUUAAUUUUUACUUUUCAAAAUACAAUCAAAUAAAUAAAAACAACAACCAAAAAAUCUUGCUGAUGUCAGGGGCCCAGCUGGCGCCGUGGGGAGCGUUAGCAAAAGGGACGCCCUUGGACGCCCGGGCCCCAAGCUCGGGAAGGGGGCAGGAUCCUGAGC